GAAAAAUUAGCGGAUGACUUGUGGCUGGGGGUGAAAGGCCAAUCAAACCGGGAGAUAGCUGGUUCUCCCCGAAAGCUAUUUAGGUAGCGCCUCGUGAAUUCAUCUCCGGGGGUAGAGCACUGUUUCGGCAAGGGGGUCAUCCCGACUUACCAACCCGAUGCAAACUGCGAAUACCGGAGAAUGUUAUCACGGGAGACACACGGCGGGUGCUAACGUCCGUCGUGAAGAGGGAAACAACCCAGACCGCCAGCUAAGGUCCCAAAGUCAUGGUUAAGUGGGAAACGAUGUGGGAAGGCCCAGACAGCCAGGAUGUUGGCUUAGAAGCAGCCAUCAUUUAAAGAAAGCGUAAUAGCUCACUGGUCGAGUCGGCCUGCGCGGAAGAUGUAACGGGGCUAAACCAUGCACCGAAGCUGCGGCAGCGACGCUGAUGCGUUGUUGGGUA
rnacentral:rRNA from 1 species